rnacentral:tRNA from 1 species
GCGAGUUUAGCUCAGUUGGUUAGAGCGUCGGGUUGUGGUUCCGAAGGUCGUGGGUUCGAUCCCCAUAACUCGCCCCA